rnacentral:lncRNA from 1 species
AUGUACUGUCUGAAAGAGCAACGACCUACAAAAAAUAAAGGUGAGAUUUUUAAAAAUAUAUUUUUUUGUGUCUAUGUGCCUGUGUGUGUAUGUGUGUGUGUCUGUGCCUGUGUCUGCAUGUCUGCGUGUGUGUGUCUGCCUGUGUUUGUAUGUCUGUGUCUGUGUCUGCAUGUUUUGUUUUUUUUUUUUUGCUUUACCUCUGAAAGGUACCAGUUGCUCGUCCACCGUCACGUUAGGACCCGGGUCGUAGAGGCUGGGCAGCCGCUCCACCCACGCGUCCCAGACCUCUCUCACGGCUGCCAGUUUGUCCGUCGCUCGCCUGGCGGGUCUAGUUUGGCGAUCGUCGAAACGCAACAGCUUCGAGUAAGCGUGAAACACCUUGAGCGACAUCGUGGCGCGAAAAAUGGCCCUGCCGCUCUCGGCGUCCCACAGGCUGGCCACGGCCUCCCCUCGGGACCUGUAGACGCCGGACAAAAUCAGGAGGCCCAAGUAGGCUCGCAGGUCGACCUCGUCCAUGCCCUUCCAGGCGCUCCCGAGCUUUCGAGAGCCCUCCAGGUUGGUGUUCUCCAGGACGAUCCUUUCCACCGCCGGGGUCACAAACAUGCGGAAGGUCGAUUCAAAGUCGACCGCCUGAGCCGCCGCGUACUCUGUGGGUCCCUGGGCAGAAAGAGGACUAAGAGGGACGUUCCUCGCUUCCUCGCCGUUGCGAAACACAGCGGAGGACCAUUUUAUUUUCCCGUCUUUAGAGAUAAAAGUUUUAUCUUCUUCUUUUUCUUCUUCUUCAUCCUCAUCCUCGAGUUCUAUUUGCUCCAGUCUUUGCACGUUUUCUAUUAUUUCAUCAUCAUCUUCAUCAUCAUCAUCAUCAUCAUCAUCAUCAUUAUAUUCUUCAUCAUCAACUUCUUCAUCAGCUGUCUUUUUGUCCUUCAUCUGUUUCUGGUCCUGCUGUAUCUGCUUCUUCUGCUUCUCCUUUUUCUUUCUCUUCUUCACUUGACACGUCUUCCUCAGAUUCCUCUUCUGAUUCAGAGUCGUCAUUAG